rnacentral:lncRNA from 1 species
AAGGAGCUUCAUAUUUGUAGCCGUUAGAUCAAAUUUUAAGAGUCCGGAUUAAUUGAUUGGGUGGAUUUGAUGGAAUGGAUCCGAAGAAGAUCCAUUUCCCUCCAAAAUGGCAACUGUGUAACUGUGUUUAUGGACCAGCAAUUGAUGAUGGCAUACGUGUACUGCAAACAUGGGUAGUUUGAUGUUAUAAUCUACUUUUUGCCAAAUAUAUAUGACCCAUAUAUUUAAUAUCUGUUGCUCUAAAUAAAGAUGUCGUUCUUGAAUUUAUAUUCUGCUUUUUGAUAAGGAGUAGGCUUUCAAUGUGACAAUCACACAAGCAAAUGACAUGUUUUUGUCUAUCAGUAUUAUACUAUUCAACGAAAUAUUAACAUUGUAGUUUGUUCAUAUUAUAAUAUAUAAAUCAAUAAUACAAUGCGACGUUGUCAAUCAACGAAAAUGCCACAAUGGCAGACUUAGAGAAAAGAGUCUAUAGGCAUAAUUACGAGAUUAUUUUACGUGCUGUCUGUGGAGUCAAAUAUAAUCACAAGGCGACACGUGGAUUUUUGGGUAAAAGAUGACAAAAAUACCCUUGAGGCAUACCGGGAUUCCUACACGCGAGCAGCGAACAAUGAUCCGU